UGGGGAAUAUUGCACAAUGGACGGAAGUCUGAUGCAGCAACGCCGCGUGCGGGAUGACGGCCUUCGGGUUGUAAACCGCUUUUUCUCAUGACGAAGUUUUUUGACGGUAGUGGGGGAAGAAGCACCGGCUAACUACGUGCCAGCAGCCGCGGUGAUACGUAGGGUGCGAGCGUUGUCCGGAAUUAUUGGGCGUAAAGAGCUUGUAGGCGGUUUGUCGCGUCGAUAGUGCAAACUCAGUGCUUAACGCUGAGCCUGCUGUUGAUACGGGCAGACUAGAGGAAGGUAGGGGAGAAUGGAAUUCCCGGUGGAGCGGUGGAAUGCGCAGAUAUCGGGAGGAACACCGGUGGCGAAGGCGGUUCUCUGGGCCGUUACUGACACUGAGGAGCGAAAGCGUGGGGAGCGAACAGG
rnacentral:rRNA from 1 species